UUUAUUUUUUCUCUAACAGGGCUGAUGCACGUAAGCAACAGCUGGAGAAUCAAGAGGAAUCUAGGGAUAUUUCAAUGCCUGUUGCAGCAAGGAGUGCUACACUAGUUGCAGAUCAAGAUCAGCGAAAAGCUUUAAAGUUUGGAUUUUCUGCCAAAAGCAGUGCAUCCAAGAGCUCUGUGGGCAAUGCUACAAAGAAGCCGAAGGUAGCAGUUGCCUCAGUUUUCGGCAAUGACAGCGAUGAGGAGUAGGAAUAAUCAAUCCCUUUUUGCUGGCCAUUAGUCGUUUGAUGUGCGAGUAUUUUAUCCUGAUGAAUGUUCCAUCAUACCCGUCUUGUACUUGCGUUAGUUAAUUAUAACAUAUCGGAUGGAUUGUUCCUAGAGGAUAACUUAAUUGGUUGUAAACAGAAGAUGCUCUUUAACAUUUAAAUAGAAGUGACUGGUGAACAUGAUUUUGUAAGGUAUAUGGGGUGCUUGUUCAAAUCCUCGACUUGUUUUUCUUUCAAUGAUGUUGUCUUAUCUGAGGGUUGCCCUAAGAGUGUAACUUUUUCUAA